ACUGCUCUGCUCAGCAGUGCAAGAAGGGCAUCUCACAACUCUGUUAUCAAGGAAAUGUGACUCACCACAAUUUUUUGAGGUUGGAGAAGGGGCAUUGCCAGGCUGGAGCUGUGCCAGCCCCUCACCUGAGCACUGCUUGGAGAUACAGGCAGGAGCCAUGGGGACCUCAACAGAGAGUGGCAGAGCUGUGCACAGAGAAAUCCUGUCUGAAAUGAAUCCCUGAUAAAGAGGAAGCCAAGUUAAAAGAGCUGGAAGAUUUCAGGUUGAGGCAGGAAAUUUGUGUGAGUUGUUAUUACUGCAAUCAGAUGAAGUGAGAAUUGGAUCGGCGGAGGCUGCCAGAGCACAGCUCUCCCAGCAGGACACCGAGGCUCUGCCCAAUCAGGGAGAGCUGCUAACUCAAUCUGCAGGUCCUACCAGCAAUUUUGGACUUGCCUUUGGUGUCCCACCUCUCCCUCCCAGCCCCACCAGCUGCCAGCAGAGAACGGGGAAGCGCGUCGGUACAGGAGGGCGAGGAAUCAGAAAGGACUUGGCGAGAUUGCACAUUUUCUGCCUUGCUGAUGGUAUUUAUUAGACAACAGAAAAUAGCUAUUUUACCAUCUGCCUUGUAAAAAAAAAAAAAUCCUCAUUAAAUUAAUGGAAUGUGCAGCUGCUGAACAGAGUGUUCCUCUUGCGGCCGCCUCCCCAUUAGCCCAGCACUUGCUGGAGCAGGGAAUCGGGCUGCCAAAAGGAGCUGUGGCUAACUCCAGCUCCUGUGGUGGGAGAGGAUGGACAGACAGACAGCUUGCUCCUCCCAGAUCCGAGGUCAUGCCAGGGUACCUACAAAUGCCCUGUGGCUGCAGACAAGGUGUAAGCACUGCCUUGCUCAGGGUG